AACUGAUACUACCUGCGGGAACCUGCGGAAGGAUCAUUAUAGAGUUUUUAACUCCCAAACCCAUGUGAACUUACCUUUGUUGCCUCGGCGGAGCCUACCCGGUACCUACCCUGUAGCGCCCCGCCGGUGGACUUCUAAACUAUUGUUAUUUUAAUGAUAUCUGAGAGUCUUAUUUUAAUAAGUCAAAACUUUUAGCAAUGGAUCUCU
rnacentral:misc_RNA from 1 species